UACAGAGGGGGCAAGCGUUGUUCGGAAUUACUGGGCGUAAAGGGCGCGUAGGCGGCCUUCUAAGUCAUGCGUGAAAUCCCCGGGCUCAACCCGGGAACUGCGUCUGAUACUGGAAGGCUUGAAUCCGGGAGAGGGAUGCGGAAUUCCAGGUGUAGCGGUGAAAUGCGUAGAUAUCUGGAGGAACACCGGUGGCGAAGGCGGCAUCCUGGACCAACACUGACGCUGAGUGAGCGAAAGCCAGGGGAGCAAACGGG
rnacentral:rRNA from 1 species